GUGUGCUCCUCCGAUUUCAUUCUCAGAGCUCCUCUGCACUCUGAGAUGCAUAAGCACCAUGGUGGUACCCCAGCACUCAUCUGUUCGUUGUCUCGUCAUAUUUCAGUUACAUAUGUUUCUUCCUCCUGUCACAUACAGGCAUGAACUGUCCUGAAGUCCUUUGUCUACGUCGCAAGGUCAUGCUUCCCUCGCAUUACUGAUGCUGCUCAUCUUAUUUUGGGGUGGCUUUCCAAGAGCAGGUGCUAAGGUGUAGCUCACACGCAUCCAUCUUGGCCUUGGGUCUGCAGCUCAAUGCAUUCAUCUCACUCUAGCCGCUGCAGGUGAGCUAUCGAACCAGAACACACAUCUGGCUUCACAAGCACUAGUCUUCUACAAAACUAGUCAUAAUGCUUAUCUAUCCUAAAUAUUAAACCACAUGACUACGAUGCGAAUAUACUCAAGAACCCAUAUCAACUAACUCAUUGCUCCGGUCCCAAGCAUCUGCAACCACAAGCAUUGAUCCUGAGUACAUCAUGUUUAACCUUUUAACCCUAACCAUGUUUUGCUUCCCUGGUCCCCGUUCACUACCUUAAACUCCGGCUCACACUUUACCUGAUUUUCAGCAGCCAUCUAGCUAACGUGCUGCUUAAAUGUAACCUCUCUUCAAAGAGGUUCACUUCUCACUCAUUCUGCAUCGGCGCAGCCAAGACUGCCGGCCAAAAAGGGCUAUCCACGUCAUCCAUCAGGAUGCAUCAAACUAACUCUUGACAUUUUCGAUGCUCAGAAGUUGCUCUCCCAUGUUAACUCAGGUACCUCAUUUUACCUUCACAAAUCCUGGUGGCGGUGGUUAAAUUCUGGCAUUCGCCUUGCACUAAUCGCUGAAACAUAUUGGGGCCCAGCAUGCCGGUAGCUUGUGGUGAUUUAGUCUCAGCCAUGGGCAUGUUGCCCUUUUCACUGGUUGCCCAGCUCGUUCGAUGCUUAUGGUUCAGGUCACUUCUCGCCGGUCGCCCGGCUCGUGAUGCACGUCUAGGUUGCCCUAGACACUGGUUGCCCAGUUUGGUCCACGCUGCCCUGGAUGCCGGUCGCCCGGCCAUCACAUCGGUCUAGGUUGCCCUAUACGCUGGUUGACCAGCU